rnacentral:rRNA from 1 species
GACGAACGCUGGCGGCGCGCUUAACACAUGCAAGUCGAACGAUGAACCCGGAGCUUGCUCCGGCGGAUUAGUGGCGAACGGGUGAGUAACACGUGAGUAACCUGCCCUUGACUCUGGGAUAACUGCGGGAAACUGUAGCUAAUACCGGAUACGACCCUCGGCGGCAUCGCCAGGGGGUGGAAAGAAUGUCGGUCAAGGAUGGACUCGCGGCCUAUCAGCUAGUUGGGGAGGUAACGGUUCACCAAGGCGACGACGGGUAGCAGGCCUGAGAGGGUGACCGGCCACACUGGGACUGAGACACGGCCCAGACUCCUACGGGAGGCAGCAGUGGGGAAUAUUGCACAAUGGGCGCAAGCCUGAUGCAGCAACGCCGCGUGAGGGAUGACGGCCUUCGGGUUGUAAACCUCUUUUAGUAGGGAAGAAGCGAAAGUGACGGUACCUGCAGAAAAAGCACCGGCUAACUACGUGCCAGCAGCCGCCGUAA